AGCUUUGCGCAGUGGCAGUAUCGUAGCCAAUGAGGUUUAUCCGAGGCGCGAUUAUUGCUAAUUGAAAAAAAAAAAAAGAAAGAUAUAUGCUGGAGAGAUGUGGAGAAACGGGAACCCUCUUGCACUGUUGGUGGGAAUGCAAACUGGUGUAGCCACUCUGGAAAACAGUGUGGAAAUUCCUCAAAAAAUUAAAAAUA
rnacentral:snRNA from 1 species